rnacentral:lncRNA from 1 species
GGAAUACCAGAAAUCAUCAUUAAAAUAGGACAAUAAUAUUUUCUUUGAACUAUAGUUUAAACAUUGAUAACUGAAUAAUCAUUGCAAAGUACAUGAUAAACACAGUGAGACUUUCUGCUUUUCUUUACCAGGACAAGGUGUUUCUGGUCAAGGGAGGAAGGUGAAACCAAAGAAACCUUGCAUUCCGUGGGAGAUACUCUCACUCCUUGAGUAUGAAAUUCUGCAUCAGCUGCAGAGGUUUUUUUUUUCCCUCCGCUCCCUAAUUUGGACCCAGGAUUUCCUCAUUAAUUGUAUCAAUGGGAUUAAUGACUGCAUACUAGCAGAGAACAUAAAGUACUUAAGAACUUCAGCCAUAUGACAUGUUAUUGUAGUAGCGAAUGAAGUAUUUAGCAUUUAUAUAGUGCUUUAUUUGCAGUGUGCCUAUUCUGAUUGCACAUUCACACACAUUAUAAUCCUAAUGAUCACUUUGUGCUUUUCUAUUUGUCAUGGUGUAUUUCCAGCAUUUAAAAUUUGUAACAUUAAGCAAAAUUAAUGCUCGUGGAAGCCUGCAGCUGCCUGCCCUCCGUGGCUGGGUGCUUCACUUAUUCAUACAGCCUUUGCCUCCUCAGCUGAGGGAGGAUCCUUAAACGCAAGUCUCCCUGAACCCCACAACUUGGAGAAGCAGUUUGCAAUCAGAGACCCUAGAUCAAUCAUUUGCCGUUGGUAGUGAUUUGAAUGAGCCCUAUUUUAGUUCACUCUCAGAGGAUCUAUGUAAGACAACUUCUCUUUUGAGAGACAAUUGCUGCUAAUUCCAUCGCAUUUCAAUGCCCUUCGGCAGCACUGGACUUCUCUUGAGGUACCCAUCUUCUAAGUGACCCCCUCCCUGUGCACAGCUAUCUAGGGAAAUGUAGGCUGGGGCUGUGUUGGAAACUUUUCCUUUAUCAAACUAUAGUCUUUUUCUAAUUUCUUUUAAGUGAUGUGAUGAAGAAGAUGUUGACAAUCAUGUUACCCAAGCACUUUUGUAAGUGUUCUGCGUAUGUGGGGUCUUCAAGAAGUUCAUGCAAAGUGUGUAUGUUAAAAACAUGGUGACUAGAUGGCAAAAUAAAAUUGCACUAAAGUAAAUGUCUUUUACUUUC